GCACUGGUAGCUCAGUGGUAGAAUUCUCACCUCCCACGUGGAAGCCCUGGGUUCGAUUCCCGGCUAAGGCA
rnacentral:tRNA from 1 species